ensembl:snRNA U7 U7 small nuclear RNA
UAGUGUUACAGCUCUUUUAGAAUUUGCUUAGUGGUCUUUCUGUUUUUUUUUUUUGGUGGAAAGCCCCU